UACGGGGGGAGCAAGCGUUGUUCGGAUUUACUGGGCGUAAAGGGCGCGUAGGCGGUCAGCACAAGUCAGUUGUGAAACCUCGAGGCUUAACCUCGAGCCUGCAUUCGAUACUGGGCGGCUAGAGUCUGGUAGGGGGAUCUGGAAUUCCUGGUGUAGCGGUGGAAUGCGCAGAUAUCAGGAAGAACACCAACGGCGAAGGCAGCUCGCUGGGACGGUACUGACGCUGAGACGCGAAAGCGUGGGGAGCGAACAGG
rnacentral:rRNA from 1 species